UACGUAGGUGGCAAGCGUUGUCCGGAAUUAUUGGGCGUAAAAGCGCGCGCAGGCGGCCUCUUAAGUCUGAUGUGAAAGCCCCCCGGCUCAACCGGGGAGGGCCUUGGAAACUGGGAGGCUUGAGUAUAGGAGAGAAGAGUGGAAUUCCACGUGUAGCGGUGAAAAUGCGUAGAGAUGUGGAGGAACACCAGUGGCGAAGGCGACUCUUUUGGCCUAUAAC
rnacentral:rRNA from 1 species